rnacentral:rRNA from 1 species
AUUGCCCUAGUAACGGCGAGUGAAGCGGCAACAGCUCAAAUUUGAAAUCUGGCCCUAGCGGUCCGAGUUGUAAUUUGUAGAGGAUGCUUUUGGUGAGGUGCCUUCCGAGUUCCCUGGAACGGGACGCCAGAGAGGGUGAGAGCCCCGUACGGUUGGACGCCAAACCUCUGUAUAGCUCCUUCGACGAGUCGAGUAGUUUGGGAAUGCUGCUCUAAAUGGGAGGUAAAUUUCUUCUAAAGCUAAAUACCGGCCAGAGACCGAUAGCGCACAAGUAGAGUGAUCGAAAGAUGAAAAGCACUUUGAAAAGAGGGUUAAAUAGCACGUGAAAUUGUUGAAAGGGAAGCGUUUGCGACCAGACUUUUUCCAGGCGGAUCAUCCGGCGUUCUCGCCGGUGCACUCCGCCUGGUGGAGGCCAGCAUCGGUUUCCUUAGGGGGAUAAAGGCCUGGGGAACGUAGCUCCUUCGGGAGUGUUAUAGCCCCUGGCGUAAUACCCCUCGGGGGACCGAGGAACGCGCUCUGCAAGGAUGCUGGCGUAAUGGUCGUCAACGACCCGUCUUGAAACACGGACCAAGGAGUCGAACAUUUGUGCGAGUGUUUGGGUGUCAAACCCUCACGCGUAAUGAAAGUGAACGGAGGUGAGAGCCCUUACGGGUGCAUCAUCGACCGAUCCUGAUGUCUUCGGAUGGAUUUGAGUAAGAGCAUAACUGUUCGGACCCGAAAGAUGGUGAACUAUGCGUGGAUAGGGUGAAGCCAGAGGAAACUCUGGUGGAGGCUCGCAGCGGUUCUGACGUGCAAAUCGAUCGUCAAAUCUGCGCAUGGGGGCGAAAGACUUAUCGAACCAUCUAGUAGCUGGUUACCGCCGAAGUUUCCCUCACGAUAGCAGUGUUGUCUUCAGUUUUAUGAGGUAAAGCGAAUGAUUAGGGACUCGGGGGCGCUAUAUUGCCUUCAUCCAUUCUCAAACUUUAAAUAUGUAAGAAGCCCUUGUUACUUAGUUGAACGUGGGCAUUCGAAUGUACCAACACUAGUGGGCCAUUUUUGGUAAGCAGAACUGGCGAUGCGGGAUGAACCGAACGCGGGGUUAAGGUGCCAGAGUGGACGCUCAUCAGACACCACAAAAGGUGUUAGUACAUCUUGACAGCAGGACGGUGGCCAUGGAAGUCGGAAUCCGCUAAGGACUGUGUAACAACUCACCUGCCGAAUGUACUAGCCCUGAAAAUGGAUGGCGCUCAAGCGUCUCACCCAUACCUCGCCCUUAGGGUAGAAACGAUGCCCUAAGGGAGUAGGCGGCCGUGGAGGUUAGUGACGAAGCCUAGGG